AUCCAACUGACGAGCCCUAAAUAGGACGAAACGCGAGUCCUGGAU
rnacentral:hammerhead_ribozyme from 1 species